rnacentral:lncRNA from 1 species
UCCAUUUUACACAGGCCGAACCUUGGAGCCCAAGUUUAUGGCUUUUUGGAUUAAGGUCAAGUGGUACGCUGCAUAGACGAGCAUCAUUUAGUUUAAUUUUUUAGGUUUUUAGGGUUUUCUAAAUCAAUUAAUAAUUAAUAGUAUUAAAUAUUAAAUAAUUUAUUCUUUUCUUAUUAUAGUGUCGUCGAUUCCUCUCUCAUUGCAACAAGUCUAAUGGGGUAGGUAACUGAGUUUACUAUCUGCAACCAAUGCAACUCCAAUUAAGUGAUAACUCCUUACUUUAAGCAAAUUAUAUGUACUUCACUUUCUCUUUACUUCUAAAGACAACACAACUUUGCUCGAGCAAUGCCCAUUUUAAUGUAAGUAGCCUUGAGUGACUCAACAACCUCCCAAUGAUAAUACUAACAAAUGGAAGGUACCUCAUCAAGCUUAACAUGGACUGAGGGAUUUAUGUUUGUUUAAUAACUAAGGUCUCAUUAAUUUUGCAUGGGUAGAAUUUAUAUUAUUGCGUGAAGUAAAUCUACCUACUAUGAACUUCAAGUUAUGUUCAAGAGAAUUUAGAUGAUAAAAGAAAUGUACAACCCAAAGGAAAAAUAAAAAUAAGACAAAGAACACUAACCCAAUUUAAAAAUUAAAUAGCAUAAAACAUAAAUUAAUCAUCCAAACAUUUGAUUUAUUUUAAUUAACUUAUGAAUUUCUUAUUUUUCAAAUUUAAUUUUAGGUUUAAUCAUAAAUUAAAUUAUUUAGAUUUAACUUAAAUAAAUCAUCCAAACAUUUGAACAAAUUCUUUGUUCAGUUUACAUUUAACUUAAAUAAAUUUAAGGCAAAUACUAAUUUAUUUAGGUUUAACCAUAAAUUAAAUUAUUUAGAUUAAAACAAAUUCAAUUUUGAAGUGCAUCAAUCUAACUCCGGAGCAUUUAAUUACUACUAGUAUCUACGAUUUUUUUCAUGGAUUUCAAUUUUUAAAAUUAAAUUCUAGACAUUUUUAUAAAUUAAUUAAAAUUUAAACACUAAAUAAAAUUAAAAUUCUAAAAUUUAGGAUUUAAUUAAAUAUAAUUUUAAUUUUAAUUCUAACAAGUUGAUAAAAAAAAAAAAAAAAAACCUCUUACCUUGCGUUUAAUUUUUAGUAACUUGUUCCUGAGAAGCCCGAUGUGAACCAAACUCAUUUAGGGAUAGGAUGGAAACUCUGAAAAUCACUUGAAAAACAAAAUUUAGAGCAUCCGUGAUCACAAGCUGGACUCCAAGCAAUCGAAAAUAAG